GAAAACCGUUUCAUGCCGUCGACGACCAUGUACCUCUGCCCGCAUUCAAGAGACAAAAUGGCCUUGUUUGCAGACGUGCAUUUUGGUUAUAUGAAACGAGGCCGCACUGGAAACACUUUCCUUAACGAGCAAUCCGUGGUUAACAGCCAGUGGUGGUUGGUUGUUAGAAGUUGCAAACAUGGGGACCACACAGAUGGGGGUUCGGUAAACGAACAGGGGAUAAUUGCCAUUCUUGCCAGCCUCUUGCCUUGUGACUAUGGCGCCUGCCAGUUAAAAACACG